ACAUGCGGAAGGAUCAUU
rnacentral:rRNA from 1 species